UACGAAGGCUCCAAGCGUUAUCCGGAUUUAUUGGGCGUAAAGCGUACGCAGGUGGCUUAGUGCGUCUCAUGUUAAAUCUUAUUGCUCAACGGUAAGGCUGCAUAAGAUACGGCUAAGCUAGAGGAUGUGAGAGGUUACUGGAACUCACGGUGUAGGGGUGAAAUCCGUUGAUAUCGUGGGGAACACCAAAGGCGAAGGCAGGUAACUGGCACAUUCCUGACACUCAUGUACGAAAGCUAGGGUCGCGAAUGGGAUUAGAUACCCCAGUAGUCCUAGCCGUAAACGAUGUUCACUAGGUGUUUCGAGUAUCGACCCUCGGAGUGCCGUAGCUAACGCGUUAAGUGAACCGCCUGGGAAGUACGAGCGCAAGCUUAAAACUCAAAGGAAUAGACGGGGACUCGCACAAGCGGUGGAGCGUGAGGCUUAAUCCGAUACUAAGCGAAAAACCUCACCUAGGCUUGAAAUCCAUGGGAAUAUAUCUGGAAACAGAUAUAGUCUUUCGGGACUCAUGGACAGGCGCUGCAUGGUUGUCGUCAGCUCGUGCCUUGAGGUGUUCCCUUAAGUGGGGUAACGAGCGCAACCCGCACCAUGUGUUAGAUAUGUCACAUGGAACUGCCCAGCCUUUAGCGCGCGAAGCGCGCUUAACGAAAAACUAAAAACUUUUAACUAAUAACUUUUGUUGUUAGUUAUCGGUUAUAAGUUAUAAGUUGAGCACUUCGUGCUCUGGAGGCUGGGAGGAAGGAGCGGAUGACGUCAAAUCAGCAUGGCCCUCUGACGCCUAGGGCUGCACUCGCGCUACAAUGGCCAGGACAAUGGGUUGCCAAGUCGCAAGACGGAGCUAACCCCUGAAACCUGGUCCCAGUUCGGAUUGAGGGCUGCAAUUCGCCCUCAUGAAGUCGGAAUCGCUAGUAAUCGCGGAUCAGCAUGCCGCGGUGAAUACGUUCUCGAGUCC
rnacentral:rRNA from 1 species